rnacentral:rRNA from 1 species
CCUUGACAUCCAGAGAACUUAGCAGAGAUUGCUUUGGUGCCUUCGGGAACUCUGAGACAGGUGCUGCAUGGCUGUCGUCAGCUCGUGUUGUGAAAUGUUGGGUUAAGUCCGCAACGAGCGCAACCCUUAUCCUUUGUUGCCAGCGGUUCGGCCGGGAACUCAAAGGAGACUGCCGGUGAUAAACCGGAGGAAGGUGGGGAUGACGUCAAGUCAUCAUGGCCCUUACGGCCAGGGCUACACACGUGCUACAAUGGCGCAUACAAAGAGAAGCGACCUCGCGAGAGCAAGCGGACCUCAUAAAGUGCGUCGUAGUCCGGAUUGGAGUCUGCAACUCGACUCCAUGAAGUCGGAAUCGCUAGUAAUCGUAGAUCAGAAUGCUACGGUGAAUACGUUCCCGGGCCUUGUACACACCGCCCGUCACACCAUGGGAGUGGGUUGCAAAAGAAGUAGGUAGCUUAACCUUCGGGAGGGCGCUUACCACUUUGUGAUUCAUGACUGGGGUGAAGUCGUAACAAGGUAAGCGUACGUGU